rnacentral:rRNA from 1 species
AUUGAACGCUGGCGGCAUGCCUUACACAUGCAAGUCGAACGGCAGCACGGGGGCAACCCUGGUGGCGAGUGGCGAACGGGUGAGUAAUACAUCGGAACGUGUCCUGUCGUGGGGGAUAGCCCGGCGAAAGCCGGAUUAAUACCGCAUACGCUCUACGGAGGAAAGGGGGGGAUCUUAGGACCUCCCGCUACAGGGGCGGCCGAUGGUAGAUUAGCUAGUUGGGGGGGUAAAGGCCUACCAAGGCGACGAUCUGUAGCUGGUCUGAGAGGACGACCAGCCACACGGGGACUGAGACACGGCCGAGACUCCUACGGGAGGCAGCAGUGGGGAAUUUUGCACAAUGGGGGCAACCCUGAUCCAGCAAUGCCGCGUGUGUGAAGAAGGCCUUCGGGUUGUAAAGCACUGUUGUCCGGAAAGAAGACGCGGUGGUUAAUACCCGUGGAGGAUGACGGUACCGGAAGAAUAAGCACCGGCUAACUACGUG